UGAAGUUUUCGGAUGGAAUCACUUAGUGGCGAACGGGUGAGUAACACGUGAGCACCUGCCUUUCAGUGGGGGACAACAUUUGGAAACGAAUGCUAAUACCGCAUAAGGUCGCAUGGCCAAAAUUUAUCCGCUGAAAGAUGGGCUCGCGUCCGAUUAGCUAGUUGGUGGGGUAACGGCCUACCAAGGCGACGAUCAGUAGCCGACCUGAGAGGGUGACCGGCCACAUUGGGACUGAGACACGGCCCAAACUCCUACGGGAGGCAGCAGUGGGGAAUAUUGCACAAUGGGGGAAACCCUGAUGCAGCGACGCCGCGUGAGCGAUGAAGUAUUUCGGUAUGUAAAGCUCUAUCAGCAGGGAAGAAAAUGACGGUACCUGACUAAGAAGCCCCGGCUAACUACGUGCCAGCAGCCGCGGUAAUACGUAGGGGGCAAGCGUUAUCCGGAUUUACUGGGUGUAAAGGGAGCGUAGACGGCAUGGCAAGCCAGAUGUGAAAGCCCGGGGCUCAACCCCGGGACUGCGUUUGGAACUGUCAGGCUAGAGUGUCGGAGAGGAAAGCGGAAUUCCUAGUGUAGCGGUGAAAUGCGUAGAUAUUAGGAGGAACACCAGUGGCGAAGGCGGCUUUCUGGACGAUGACUGACGUUGAGGCUCGAAAGCGUGGGGAGCAAACAGGAUUAGAUACCCUGGUAGU
rnacentral:rRNA from 1 species